rnacentral:tmRNA from 1 species
GGGGCCGUAACGGUAUCGACAGGUUGGCGAAAGCUUGGUCGUGAUGCAGGUCGAGAGGGAGUUGUCUCUCGUAAAUAAAAGACUCAAAAAAAAUGUAACUGCGAAUAACAUCGUACCCUUUGCUCGUAAAGCAGCACUUGUUGCCUAAGAACCUAUAAACGGUUUCGAGCGUUCGUAGUCUGACUCCGUUAAAGGCUACGGGCAUAACCCUAACGGAUGCACUACUUUAGCUACCUCUGGUUGGCGAUCGUAGUUAAGACUUCACCAGAGAAUCCCAUCGUCAGGGACAAGUGACGGUUCCCGCCCUGAGGAUUAAAAGGGCUAAACCUGUGAAAGAGUGGUCGGUAAAUACCCAAUUUGGACAGCAGUUCGACUCUGCUCGGCUCCAUUU